AGCAGCCGCGGUAAUUCCAGCUCCAAUAGCGUAUAUUAAAGUUGUUGCAGUUAAAAAGCUCGUAGUUGAAUUUCGGGAUUGACGUGAUGGUCAUGCCUUAAGGGGUAUGAACUGUUACUGUUGAUUUCUCACCUUCUGGAGAAACUUGAUGUCCUUUAUUGGGUGUCUUGCGGAUCCAGGACCUUUACCUUGAAAAAAUUAGAGUGUUUAAAGCAGGCAUUUUUGCUCGAAUACAUUAGCAUGGAAUAAUAGAAUAGGACGGCAUGGUUCUACUUUGUUGGUUUCUAGGAUCACCGUAAUGAUUAAUAGGGAUAGUUGGGGGCAUUAGUAUUCAAUUGUCAGAGGUGAAAUUCUUGGAUUUAUUGAGGACUAACUACUGCGAAAGCAUUUGCCAAGGAUGUUUUCAUUAAUCAAGAACGAAAGUUAGGGGAUCGAAGACGAUCAGAUACCGUCGUAGUCUUAACCAUAAACUAUGCCGACUAGGAAUCAGACGAUGUUAAUUUUUUCAAUGACUCGUUUG
rnacentral:rRNA from 1 species